GACGAACGCUGGCGGCGUGCCUAAUACAUGCAAGUAGAACGCUGAAGGAGGAGCUUGCUUCUCUGGAUGAGUUGCGAACGGGUGAGUAACGCGUAGGUAACCUGCCUGGUAGCGGGGGAUAACUAUUGGAAACGAUAGCUAAUACCGCAUAACAGUAGAUAUCGCAUGAUAUCUACAUGAAAGGUGCAAUUGCAUCACUACCAGAUGGACCUGCGUUGUAUUAGCUAGUUGGUGAGGUAACGGCUCACCAAGGCGACGAUACAUAGCCGACCUGAGAGGGUGAUCGGCCACACUGGGACUGAGACACGGCCCAGACUCCUACGGGAGGCAGCAGUAGGGAAUCUUCGGCAAUGGACGGAAGUCUGACCGAGCAACGCCGCGUGAGUGAAGAAGGUUUUCGGAUCGUAAAGCUCUGUUGUAAGAGAAGAACGAGUGUGAGAGUGGAAAGUUCACACUGUGACGGUAUCUUACCAGAAAGGGACGGCUAACUACGUG
rnacentral:rRNA from 1 species